UACGUAGGGUGCAAGCGUUAAUCGGAAUUACUGGGCGUAAAGCGUGCGCAGGCGGUUAUAUAAGACAGUUGUGAAAUCCCCGGGCUCAACCUGGGAACUGCAUUUGUGACUGUAUAGCUAGAGUACGGUAGAGGGGGAUGGAAUUCCGCGUGUAGCAGUGAAAUGCGUAGAUAUGCGGAGGAACACCGAUGGCGAAGGCAAUCCCCUGGACCUGUACUGACGCUCAUGCACGAAAGCGUGGGGAGCAAACAGG
rnacentral:rRNA from 1 species